AUGGCGCUUGUGGUGAUGUGCGGGCAGCCGUGCAGCGGCAAGUCAGAGGCUGCAGCUUGUCUCGCUGCCGCUCUUCGCUCCUCCGUGCUUGACGUUACUGUCCGCGUCAUUGACGAGUCAUCGCUCCAUCUUGGACGCGAUGAAAGCUACAAAGAUAUGGUUGUGGAGAAAAACUUAAGAGGAGUUUUGAGAUCAGAAGUUGAUAGGUCCGUGUCACGGGAUGGCAUAAUCAUCGUGGAUUCUCUGAACAAUAUUAAGGGGUACCGAUACGAGCUGUGGUGUCUUGCGCGUGCUUCGGGAAUAAGAUAUCGUGUGUUCUUUUGUGAUACAGAAGUGGACCAUUGUAGGGAUUGGAACGUCAAGCGUCAGGAGAAAGGAGAACCCUCAUAUGAUAGCAAUAUAUUUGAAGAUCUGGCAAGGAGAUUUGAGAGGCCUGAUAGUCGUAGCCGCUGGGAUUCUCCUCUUUUUGAAUUGUUUCCAUCUAGAGAGGAAAUUGUGGAAUCUUCCCCUGUUAUUGCUGAGGCUGUAUCAUAUUUGACUAAGAAAGUGGAUUCGAAAACAAGAGAUGUGAAAGUUCUCCAGCCUACAAUAGCUACUCAGUCUGUACGGACUACUGAGGGUAAUUCACUCUACGAGAUGGACAAAGCAACACAGGAGGUGGUCAGUGCAAUUGUGGAGGCACAGUCUGGUGGUCUUGGGCUUGCCAUGAACAAGAUUUCUCUUGGGCCCGACUUGCCAACUAUUAAUCUUCGAAGACCGGUUGGCCUGCCCGAGCUACGGAGCCUCCGACGCACGUUCAUCAAGCUGGCAGGGCAGUACAGUUUGAGCGGGCGACCCCCACCAACAGACGCCGACAGCGCGAAGAGGAUGUUUGUUGACUACUUGAACCGAGAAAUUGGUGGGUGA
rnacentral:rRNA from 1 species